rnacentral:rRNA from 1 species
GAUGAACGCUGGCGGCGUGCCUAAUACAUGCAAGUCGAGCGAACAGACGAGGAGCUUGCUCCUCUGACGUUAGCGGCGGACGGGUGAGUAACACGUGGAUAACCUACCUAUAAGACUGGGAUAACUUCGGGAAACCGGAGCUAAUACCGGAUAAUAUAUUGAACCGCAUGGUUCAAUAUUGAAAGACGGUUUUGCUGUCACUUAUAGAUUGAUCCGCGCCGCAUUAGCUAUUUGGUAAGGUAACGGCUUACCAAGGCAACGAUGCGUAGCCGACCUGAGAGGGUGAUCGGCCACACUGGAACUGAGACACGGUCCAGACUCCUACGGGAGGAAGAAGUAGGGAAUCUUCCGCAAUGGGCGAAAGCAUGACGGAGCAACGCCGCGUGAGUGAGGAAGGUCUUCGGAUCGUAAAACUCUGUUAUUAGGGAAGAACAAAUGUGUAAGUAACUAUGCACGUCUUGACGGUACCUAAUCAGAAAGCCACGGCUAACUACGUG